rnacentral:rRNA from 1 species
CAAUGGGUCAACCCUUUCCACAAUGCCGCGUGUGUGAAGAAGGCCUUGGGNUUGUACAGCACUUUCAGUGGGGAGGAGGUUUGCNUAGGUUAAGAGCUGGGCGAAUGGACGUUACCCACAGAAGAAGCACCGGC